UACGUAGGGGGCUAGCGUCGUCCGGAUUUAUUGGGCGUAAAGAGCGUGUAGGCGGCCAUGUAGGUCCGGUGUGAAAACUCGAGGCUUAACCUCGAGAUGUCAUCGGAAACCAUUUGGCUAGAGUCCGGAAGAGGAGAGUGGAAUUCCUGGUGUAGCGGUGAAAUGCGCAGAUAUCAGGAGGAACACCGGUGGCGAAGGCAAUCCCCUGGGCCUGCACUGACACUCAUGCACGAAAGCGUGGGGAGCAAACAGG
rnacentral:rRNA from 1 species